rnacentral:rRNA from 1 species
UACAGAGGGUGCAAGCGUUAAUCGGAAUUACUGGGCGUAAAGCGCGCGUAGGUGGUUUGUUAAGUUGAAUGUGAAAUCCCCGGGCUCAACCUGGGAACUGCAUCCAAAACUGGCAAGCUAGAGUAGGGCAGAGGGUGGUGGAAUUUCCUGUGUAGCGGUGAAAUGCGUUGAUAUCCGAAGGAACGCCGGUGGCGAAAGCGACGGGCUGGAUCUCUUCUGACGCUGAGGCGCGAAAGCUAGGGUAGCGAACGGG